rnacentral:sRNA from 1 species
CCAGGCUUUUAUCACCUUUCCCAAUAAGGAGAUAGCAUGGCAAGCAUUGCAUCUAGUAAAUGGAUAUAAACUACAUGGGAAAAUAUUGGUGAUAGAGUUUGGAAAGAACAAAAAGCAACGGUCAAAUCUCCAAGCGACUUCUCUCAUAUCAUGUGCUACAGGCAUAUGAAUUUUAGAAGAGUAACAUACAAGCAAAGAAUACCAAAGGGAAAUGGAAAGAAAGCGUUCUCUAGAAAAGAGGAUGCCAGUCACAAAUCCCCCAGUUGUUUGUUUAUGGUUGCUGGAAAAUAAAAAGACAAUAUACAGAGAGGAAGUAGUACAAACUGGAGUCA